AGCCCCAUCGUCCAAUAAAUUAGAAUUUGUUGGAUCUUGGGGCAGC
ensembl:miRNA